rnacentral:misc_RNA from 1 species
GAUGAAGAACGCAGUGAAAUGCGAUACGUAGUGUGAAUUGCAGAAUUCAGUGAAUCAUCGAGUCUUUGAACGCACAUUGCGCCCCCUGGUAUUCCGGGGGGCAUGCCUGUCCGAGCGUCAUUGCUGCCCUCAAGCACGGCUUGUGUGUUGGGCCUCCGUCCUCCUCCCGGGGGACGGGCCCGAAAGGCAGCGGCGGCACCGCGUCCGGUCCUCGAGCGUAUGGGGCUUCGUCACCCGCUCUUGUAGGCCCGGCCGGCGCUUGCCGACACAUCAAUCUUUUUUCCAGGUUGACCUCGGAUCAGGUAGGGAUACCCGCUGAACUUAAGCAUAUCAAUAAGCGGAGGA